GGUUUGUGGCUCAGUGGUAGAGUGCUUGCCUGACAUGUAUGAGUCCCUGGGUUCGAUCCUCAGCACCA
rnacentral:tRNA from 1 species